rnacentral:rRNA from 1 species
ACGUGAUCUGAGUUCAGACCGGAGCAAUCCAGGUCAGUUUCUAUCUAUAAAGAGCUUCUUCUAGUACGAAAGGACCAAAAAAGCACGGCCUAUGCCUCAGGCAAGCCGUCGUAAGUAAUUUAUGACUUAAACUCAAUAAACAACUUACCUUCUACUAACCUCGAGAUAAGAGA